ACUGGAGUGGUUCCAGCACCCGGUUCAUACCCGGAACAACGCCGGUUCGAGUCCGGCCUCCGCUA
rnacentral:tRNA from 1 species